rnacentral:lncRNA from 1 species
AUUGGUGUUUAGAAUGGCCAUUCAAGCCGAUUUUUAAGGUAAGAAUGAGUAUUGUAAUACUAUCAUCUUGUGAAUGCAACUCCUGGCACCAUUUGACAGACAGCCCUCAAACUUGAUUGGAUUGUUUGCCAUCUUGUGUAGUUGAUCACCAUUUUGAUCCAACCAUUUUUUUCCAGGAAUUUAACCAUAUUUGUCUAUUGUACCACAAUUACACAUUGUGGUACCACAAUUGAUUUCCUCACUUAUACAGCGCAGGGGACGUUUCACCACUGCAUAGCAAUCUUGUUUUUAUUUCAGUAUUAUUUUGUGACUAUAGAUGUUUUUAUAUAGAUUACAAUUGAUUACAUAGAUGUUAUGUGUUGUGUUGUUGGGAUGUUGUCACAUUGAUAUGUUCCUCCUUUUACCCUGAUGUUUUAUAAAUCCCCUAUUUCAAUACAAUGUACUUGAAUAUACCAACAGUGGUAUUUUUAACAAUUUUGAUUGACCAAGACAUUUCAUAUUCCAGGGAACAGCAAAACAGCUGAUCUUUGAAAAUAAGGAUUUAUGUUGGAAAUGCCCAAUGACACAUUGACUUUUAAGGUAAGAAAGAGCUGUUACAAAGAUUUAUAAACUUUUUGUGUUUAAAGAUCAUGUACAAGAACAGAAUUAUUAUCUUCUUACAAUUCAACGUUUUUUGAAAGGAUGUGUCAAGAAGGCAAAAUAGAUUAUUUUAGGAACUUUCUUUUGUUAGCUUUAAGAGUAUUUGAUGAAAACUUUACCUAUUACUGUUAUUUUCAAUUUAAAUUUCUGAAAUAAAAACAAUAAAAAAAUAGUAUGAUACUGCUGUUCAAAAUUCAGAAAUCAAUUGAAAAAAAUACAAAUCCUGAUUACAACAUCAACACAUCAACACAUCAACAAAGGGACAACAGAAACACUGAAAACAAACAACAACAUAUAUAGAAACGGACUAUUUGAUAACAACUUCCAUAAUCCUGACUUGGUACAGGACAAUUUAAGAAAUAAUUAUGGUUGGAACCUGGUGUUAUGGCUAACCAAACUCCCCGCUUAUGUAAUAUGCCAGAAAAAUUGAAAGUGUCUUAAUUCUUUUUCAGCCUACCAUUACCAUGAUUACUGUGGCUGCAUAAAAGAAUUGUGAUUAAUUUUGUAUUCUCUUCAUGAUAACAUACAGCUACACUACCGUGAUAUGUUGUCAUUCAAAGGACACAGCUUUCAAUAAAGUUCACCACAACAUUGUGCUAGCAUUUGAUAACAACUGUCGUGCUAUUCUUGUAAUGUUAGACUUAUCUGCUACAUUUGAAGUUAUUCACCAGCUGAUUCUGAUUGAACAUAUUGAAUACCCCUACAGAAUAUCUGACAAUGCCCUUUCAUGGAUUAGAUUUUACCAAAGCAACAGAACAUAACUUAUCUCUUAUAAAUAUUAAUAAUGAUGAUAUGCAGCUACAAUUUGGUGUACCAAAGGGCUCUGUAUUAGGAUUGUAAAUGUACUGUAUGUUUUUUUAAAAACCUAUUGAUGAAAUUUGCAGAAGUCACAAUAUAAACUAAUAAUCCUAUGGUGUAUCUUGAAUGAACAAAAGACUAGAGACCGAUUUGACAGACAUAAUUGCAUAGAUGAGUUCAAUUUAGAAAUAUGCUUACAGUUAGUAAAUCAGGACAAAACCGACCAUAUUGAUUUUGCG